AUUGAACGCUGGCGGCAUGCCUUACACAUGCAAGUCGAACGGCAGCACGGGAGCUUGCUCCUGGUGGCGAGUGGCGAACGGGUGAGUAAUACAUCGGAACGUGCCCAGUAGUGGGGGAUAGCACGGCGAAAGCCGGAUUAAUACCGCAUACGACCUACGGGUGAAAGCGGGGGACCGAAAGGCCUCGAGCUAGUGGAGCUGCCGAUGUCUGAUUAGAUUGUUGGUGGGGUAAAAGCCCACCGAGGCGACGAUCAGUAGCUGGUCUGAGAGGACGAUGAGCCACACUGGGACUGAGACACGGCCCAGACUCCUACGGGAGGCAGCAGUGGGGAAUUUUGGACAAUGGGGGCAACCCUGAUCCAGCAAUGCCGCGUGUGCGAAGAAGGCCUUCGGGUUGUAAAGCACUUUUGUCAGGGAAGAAAUCUUUCAGGCUAAUACCCUUGGAAGGAUGACGGUACCUGAAGAAUAAGCACCGGCUAACUACGUGCCAGCCGCCGCAGUAA
rnacentral:rRNA from 1 species